AAGGGCACCACAAGAACGCGUGGAGCAUGUGACUUAAUUUGACUCAACACGGGGAAUCUUACCGGGUCAGGACAUACCGAGGAUUGACAGGCGCACAAUAGCUUCAGCUGAAAGUUUUUGGGCUUCGGCUCAAGGGCUUUCUGUUGUAAGCUAUUAUAAAUAUGCUAGUCCUUUCAUGAUUGUGUGAUAGGUGGUGCAUGGCCGUUCUUAGUUCGUGGAGUGAUCUGUCUGCUUAAUUGCGUUUCAGAAGAUAGGCUCAUUAAAAAUUGUUCGUCUUGCGGUGCGACCAUUUUUCUCUCACGGCAUAAAAUUUUUCUACGUAGGAAAUUUUUUUCCUCACGUGAAAACAAUUUUUGCCUGAGGAAAAAUGUUUUAGUUCCCCGCAUUACGAACAGAUGCAGCCUUGAAGGUAACGAACGUGACCGCAGCCUCUUGUUGCCUUUCUUCCAUCUUUAUGGUGGACUGCUACCUCGUGAUUUUUUUAAAUUUCCUUCGUGGUUUUUGCCUUUCAAGAGUGUCUAGUGAACUUUUCACGGGCCUCGUUGAGCCAUUCACGUGUGGUUUUUUAGAGUAUUUUCUCUUCACGGGGAAAAUAUUUUAGAGGCCACGCGUGGUGGAACAACUCAGCGAGGACCAACCCGUGGAGAGCCUUCGCUAGGCAUUUCUGGAGGUAAAAAAUCACGGAGGCUCAAAUUUAAAAUUCGUAAGGAUUAGCAGAGUGAAGCAGCAAACUAGAGGGACCGCCGACCUUUUUCAAACGGAGGAAGGUUGCGGCAAUAACAGGUCUGUGAUGCCCUUAGAUGUUCCGGGCCGCACACGUGCUACAAUGAUUGUCGCAGUGAGCAUCUUACCAAAAAGUUUUUUUUUUCCUUCGGGUAAAAAAAAACCACACCUGCUUCGAGAGUAAGUGGGUAAUCAAUUCGAAGUUACGAUUUCCUCUGCACAACAAAACUCUUGAGUCUAGAGUCUAUUUGCUUUGAGUAUUUUCUUCGGAAGAUAUUCACGAUAGACUCUCUCAGGAUGUGCUAAUAUUUUAUUCAUGGUGGGGACAGACCAUUGAAAUUGUUGGUCUCGGUCUUAACUAGGAAUGCCUUGUACGGGUCAUGGUUCAACAGACCACCCGGAAUAUGUCCCUGCCCUUUGUACACACCGCCCGUCGCUCUUACCGAUGGACUUCUCUGCAAGUUUGAGGGACUUGCAUAUCUCUGCUACGGAAACUCAAACAAACAGUGUGGUCUAAAGGAAAGAGAAGUCGAACAAGGCA
rnacentral:rRNA from 1 species